ACGGGUAACGGGGAAUCAGGGUUCGAUUCCGGAGAGGGAGCCUGAGAAACGGCUACCACAUCCAAGGAAGGCAGCAGGCACGCAAAUUACCCACUCCCGGCACGGGGAGGUAGUGACGAAAAAUAACAAUACGGGACUCUAAUGAGGCCCCGUAAUUGGAAUGAGUACAAUCUAAAUCCUUUAACGAGGAUCAAUUGGAGGGCAAGUCUGGUGCCAGCAGCCGCGGUAAUUCCAGCUCCAAUAGCGUAUAUUAAAGUUGUUGCGGUUAAAAAGCUCGUAGUUGGAUCUCAGUUCAUGUUAAGUGGUCCACUUGCCGGUGGUUACUACUUAGCUGAACAUUUUACAGACCUGUCUUGUGAUGCUCUUCACCGGGUGUCAUGAGCGAUCUGUACGUUUACUUUGAAAAAAUUAGAGUGCUUAAAGCAGGCGUAAUGCCGGAAUAAUCUUGCAUGGAAUAAUGGAAUAGGACCUCGGUUCUAUUUUGUUGGUCUUCGGAUCCUGAGGUAAUGAUUAAGAGG
rnacentral:rRNA from 1 species